GUAAAUUUGUAUCUUGGCAUUGUUUUGCAAAUAACUGCAUUGUUGAGAUCAGGUGCCCCAUACCCCAGGGCUUAUUUCAAACUAAGGAUGGCGAAAAUAAGCCUGUCAUAAUUAUUGACGAUAGUCGUAUUAUUGAUGCGACGGGCCCUUAUCCGGCUACGACAUCCGAUGCAGAUAUAAUUAAUCGAGAAUUUCAUGACCCUAAUUCAAUUUUACGCCAAUA
rnacentral:misc_RNA from 1 species